rnacentral:rRNA from 1 species
GGCGGACUAGCAAGUCAGAUGUGAAAUCCCAAGGGCUUAACCCUGGAACUGCGUCUGAAACUGUUAGCCUAGAAUCUCAUAGGGGGUAGGGGAAUUUCACGUGUAGGGGUAAAAUCCGUAGAGAUGUGAAGGAACACCGGAGGCGAAGGCGCCUACCUGGAUGAGUAUUGACGCUGAGGCGCGAAAGCGCGGGGAGCAAACAGGAUUAGAUACCCUGGUAGUCCACGCCGUAAACGAUGAGUACUAGUUAUUGGAGGUAUUGACUCCUUCAGUGACGUAGCUAACGCAUUAAGUACUCCGCCUGGGAAGUACGGUCGCAAGCUAAAACUCAAAGGAAUUGACGGGGGGCCCGCACAAGCGGUGGGUUAUGUGGUUUAAUUCGAAGCAACGCGCAGAACCUUACCUAGGCUUGAAAUCCUACGAAUACCGAGUAAUGUUGGUAGUGCCCGCAAGGGAAUGUAGUGACAGGUGCUGCAUGGCU